rnacentral:lncRNA from 1 species
GAGGUUUAAAAUGUUAAAAGCAAAGACUUGUGAUGUGAUUAUAUAUAUAUACAUAAACAUAUUCACUGAUUCACACAAAGUAUAUGUAAUAAUAAAUAAUAUGACUUUGGCAUGGGGUUUUGGUGUCUUAAUACAAAGUCUGAACAGAGAGAUAUGACAUUCUUUUUUUUUUUUUAGGUUCUUAUUCUAAUCUUUUUGAUUAAUUUUCUUAUCCUCCAAUAAUUAAGCACCAAAACUUUACCUUAUCUUCCACUUUUUUUUAAUAAUAUACAAUGAGAUGAUUGCUUUCUUUAGAUCUAAUUCAGCCGUUUAAGUUCGAAUUUUCAAAAUGCGAGUCGUUAAAUAAAAGGUAAA